GGUUCGAUGGUGUAGUUGGUUAUCACGUCAGUCUAACAAUCUCCUUUGUUGGGUUCACUGAAGGUCUCCAGUUCAAGUCUGGGUCGAAUCA